UCAAUAAAGACCCUUCUGCAUUUAGAGAUGAAGGAAGAGGAGGAAAACAGUCUUGUUUUCAAUAAGACAGGGUCUCUUCCUCCGUUGCUCAACUGCCCAUUUGCACAAGGCUUUCUGGCCCCGUAGUAGCCUGUUUCCCUGGAGAGUACAGUCGACAUGGGGAGGCGAGGCAGUGUUGGAAGGUAGCCUGAGGAUAACAGGCGUUAUAAAGAGGAAUUUUUUUCCCUGCUGUUUUUGUUUGUUUUACCACAGAGGCUCAGAGGAGCUGGCCAAGAGCCUCACACAGCAGGUGCUGCCUGGGAAUGCAAGGGGAGCAAAAUUCCUACUAAAUGGAAGCAUUAUUUGACACCACUGCCUUUCGCAAUCUUUUUCCUUUGUUUCAGACAAACUCCAAGGCCUCCUGGGCUUUGCGGUCAAAGCUGAGUUGGACUCUUCUGCAGGGGAGGAAAGGGAAGUAGUAAGGGUGUCCCCAAACAUGCCAAAUACUUGGGUGACAGAGACUGAGCCUUCUGGAAACAAUACUGCUGGAUUCCCACAGAAGCAGCAAGAGGGCCAAGAAGAAGAGCAAAAUCACCUUUGGCUCCCUCACAGUAGUAGUUUUUUUGUCGUUGUUUUGUUUUUUGUGGGUUUUGGGUUUUUUUUUAUGAAGAAGAGACUGAGCCUGCCCACCCACACCAAAAUGCUUUUGACAUUUGGAGAUCCACAGGAGCAGGUCGCAGCUCUGCUCAGCUUGGCUAUCAUCUAUCAUGGCUGUUGCGAGACUGGAAGAGUGUAAGUGUGGCCAGAGGAAAGCAGAGUAACUCCUUCCUUUACCAGAGAAUUCCCCUGUGGCUCAGUCCUUCAGCUCCACUAAUUUUCUUUUGUACCACAACUCCUUGCCAGUAAAACUGGUACAAGCCAUGUGGGGAUCAUGUAUCAGUCGCAUGGGAUGCAUAACUAUUUCGUAAAUGAUGGAUCAGUACAAAAGCCCAGAAAGAAGGAAGUCAGAAUUUUCCAGAAAUGACAGGUUUUGCCACAGAAUUUACAUUCUUCUACUUCUUUACAAGCAGGCAGUCUGCCUCUGACCAAGGGCUCUCUUCCUACCAGCAUGUUUUCUCAGGCAAAGAUUCAAUUUUUAGAGCCUUUUGGAUACCAUCAGUUGCUGAAAUGACCCUGCAGAAGGGUCCAGCGAUAGCUCAUCUCCAGAAUUGCCUAUGAACAGGGAGUAACUGGCCACACCUGCAGUGUUCAGGUAUGUCUGUCUCAUGGUUGUCCUCGAGCAAAGGGACAGUGUUCUUGUCUGCUCCACGCUUUGCAUGCUGGGGUUGCGCUCACAGAUGGAGCCCCGGGGUGCUCCUCCAAGGCUGGCACUAUCAAUAUUAAUGAUUUUCUUCCUCUUCCACACUCUGUGGCUCCUGGGAGACCAAGAACCCCAGCCUGGAUGCUUUUAAACAGCACUGUAUGAGACAAAGCCACAUUCCUUAGCUGUAAGUCUUUACAAUCACCCACCAGCUCUCCAAAAGAAGUUCAGAGCAUGACUUCCAGCGAGACAGAUGACGCAGCUCUUCAGGCCCAGAGAUGUUUUUCUGGACGAUGCAGCAAAGCUACUGGGCUCGGUAGUGGGCUAAUUGGAUGCAACUGAACGGCUUUGAAAUAUAGGAAGUCAUACCAGAUGUUCUCAUGGUUCCUUCUGGCCUUAAAUCCUGCGAAUCUAUGAAUGAGUUUCUGAAUCUGUGAAAUCCAAAGUCCUGAGAAUACAAACAUAUGAGUAGAGUUAUAUUUCUGGCCCCCAGAUCAGAGGAAAGAUAUUGAAUGUGCAUUGUUGCGAUAAAUCAAAGAAGCAGCUAAAUCAGAGCUGUAAUAAAAGUCGACUGCAGAUCUUUGUGCAGAAAUUGGUCAUAUGUCAUGUGAGGACAAGGUUCAGAGAUGCGAUUUCUCAACAUCUGAAAUGACUUCUUUUGGGAGCAGCCCCUUCCAAGCACUGUGGUGGAGGAGAUCCUCCUCUGAACUUGGUCUUCGAUGCCACACAGGAGCUCGUUUGACAAGUGACAAUCAAUGAGGCACUGAACACUGCUGACCACAGUGUAAUUGAGAUGAGCAUCCCUGCCAUGAAAACCAGCAGUGAAGCAUUGAAGUAAAGAGAAAGGGGAUUUGUUUUGUUGGACUUCCUUAAGGGGAAGCAUGUCAAAACUGAGGAAACUGAAAUCUGCAGUCAGCAAGUAAGCUUACUCAGUCAUGGUCUAAGCACAGCCACACGAUGUAUCCAGCCACCCCACUCCUCUGAUAAAGGACGAAGAGCAGCAACAACAACAAUAAAAACAAAAACAAAACAACAACAAAAAAACCACCAAAACCCCUCGAAUUAUGAUGUUUCUGAAUCAUUUAAUAACACUUUGAAGUAACCUGAUUUGUUCUGGGAGGAAGUCCUCUGUAUGCCCAACCGGAUUCAAAUGACAUGAGUUUGAGUAUCACCACUGAAAUUUCUUCUUGCCAGGCUCUGAGCUUCUCAAGUUUUCUGCCCUCACCAUUUCUGUUGGCUAUGUCUCUGGCUGGAGAAGGCAUCAGAGUGGGCAGGAGACACCUGGGACCCAACAUGCCUCAUCAGCACAACAUUGGGUGAUUCCUAAGAUGCAUGGUUGGCCACUGUGACUCAAAUCUUCCUUCUCCAUGCAUGAGGGUGCUGGACCCUUGCACCAUGGGCAUGUUUAGAUGGCUGUUUUAAAGAAAAUCUUCGAAAAAUGAACACUUUGAAUGAAAUAGUCAGAAAAAGAUCAUGCACUGUCAAAAUUCUCCAGUGAAGCACCUUUAUUAUAUAAUACCAAGCUACAUGUGUCGUGCAAAGUACUGUAUGUCAUUUGCAGAGGGCCCGUUGAUACUCUAACGUCACCACCAAUGUCACGCAACACUGGGUGAAGCAGUGAACAUGGCAAUAUCACCAAGAAAUACAUAAUGCCAAUGACAGUGGAACUAAUGUAGAGACGAUUAUCCUUACAUUAUUCAGCACCUCCAAUUGCUCUCUGUUUUAAGUGGCUAUAUGAUGUAAUAAUAUAUAAAUACUGUAAUGAAGAGUUUAUUUAUAACCAUCCUCAGUGUUACCAGUGAAAGUAUUAAUGCAUUUUUCCCACGCUAUGUUCAUUGACCGCAGCCAAGCAACCCAUUUUCAAGGGACUAUGUCAAAAGAGUGUUUAAGCCAUUCCUCAAUCACAGAAACAGGUGAAUGGCUAAUGUAGCAAGCAAAGUCAUCA